ensembl:miRNA aca-mir-1641 aca-mir-1641
CAGGGCUUUUCCUGGGAUUAAUGACAGUCUGGGGGUCAUCAUCUCCUCCCAGUUAGUUAUUAAUCCUCAGGAAACACUCAGUGCCUU